rnacentral:sRNA from 1 species
GCACCGUCGUCGAUCCCAACGGCCCGUAC